GAAACGACUGCUAAGACUGGAUAGGAAGAUAAAAGGCAUCUUUUAUCUUUUAAAAGACCUAGUAAUAGGUAUGCUUUAGGAGGGGCUUGCGCCAUAUUAGUUAGUUGGUAGGGUAAUGGCCUACCAAGACGAUGAUGUCUAGCUGGACUGAGAGGUUGAACAGCCACAUUGGGACUGAGACACGGCCCAAACUCCUACGGGAGGCAGCAGUAGGGAAUUUUCGGCAAUGGAGGAAACUCUGACCGAGCAACGCCGCGUGAAUGACGAAGUACUUCGGUAUGUAAAGUUCUUUUAUCAAGGAAGAAAAGCAAAUGGCGAACCAUUUGUUUGCCGGUACUUGAUGAAUAAGCCCCGGCUAAUUAUGUGCCAGCAGCCGCGGUAAGACAUAAGGGGCAAGUGUUAUCCGGAAUUAUUGGGCGUAAAGGGUGCGUAGGCGGUCUAGUAAGUCAGUGGUGUAAUGGCAACGCUUAACGUUGUCCGGCCAUUGAAACUGCUAAACUUGAGUUAGAUAGAGGCGAGUGGAAUUCCAUGUGUAGCGGUAAAAUGCGUAAAUAUAUGGAGGAACACCAGAGGCGUAGGCGGCUCGCUGGGUCUUAACUGACGCUGAGGCACGAAAGCGUGGGGAGCAAACAGGAUUAGAUACCCUGGUAGUCCACGCCGUAAACGAUGAGUACUAAGUGUCGGGUUAAACCGGUACUGAAGUUAACACAUUAAGUACUCCGCCUGAGUAGUACGUACGCAAGUAUGAAACUUAAAGGAAUUGACGGGACUCCGCACAAGCGGUGGAUCAUGUUGUUUAAUUCGAAGAUACCCGAAAAACCUUACCAGGUCUUGACAUGUUUUUGCAAAAUGAUAGUAAUAUCGUGGAGGUCACCAGAAACACAGGUGGUGCAUGGUUGUCGUCAGCUCGUGUCGUGAGAUGUUAGGUUAAGUCCUAAAACGAGCGAAACCCUUAUCGUUAGUUGCCAGCACGUUAUGGUGGGGACUUUAACGAGACUGCCAAUGAUAAAUUGGAGGAAGGUGAGGAUCACGUCAAAUCAGCAUGCCCCUUAUGACCUGGGCUACAAACGUGAUACAAUGGCUGUUACAAAGGGUAGCUGAAACGCAAGUUCUUGGCCAAUCCCCAAAAACAGUCCCAAUCCGGAUUGAAGUCUGCAACUCGACUUCAUGAAGUUGGAAUCGCUAGUAAUCGCGAAUCAGCAUGGCGCGGUGAAUACGUUCUCGGGGUUUGUACACACCCCCGUCA
rnacentral:rRNA from 1 species